GAAGACAUUCAUCCAACACCUUGAUUGAAGCGGUUAUGACUUUGUCUCCAAUUGGCUCAUUUGAGUUUCCAACAUUAUCCCUCCAAGACCUUAUCUCAGAAGAGGAGGUCAAGACUCCAUGAACUAAAAGGGAAAUCUUUUCCCAACACAGGAUCAUCACGCUAGGAUAGUUGUGUGCCACAGCUCUGACGGCCUGAAGUGCCUCAAAGCCUACUGGUGGGCUUACUCCUGGGUCACAAUACCGAAACAACGUAAACAAAAUGCCCGACUUCGAUUUAAUACUGAUUGAAC
rnacentral:misc_RNA from 1 species